rnacentral:rRNA from 1 species
UACUCCUACGGGAGGCAGCAGUGGGGAAUUUUGGACAAUGGGCGCAAGCCUGAUCCAGCCAUGCCGCGUGUCUGAAGAAGGCCUUCGGGUUGUAAAGGACUUUUGUCAGGGAAGAAAAGGCUGUUGCUAAUAUCGACAGCUGAUGACGGUACCUAAAGAAUAAGCACCGGCUAACUACGUGCCAGCAGCCGCGGUAAUACGUAGGGUGCGAGCGUUAAUCGGAAUUACUGGGCGUAAAGCGAGCGCAGACGGUUACUUAAGCAGGAUGUGAAAUCCCCGGGCUCAACCUGGGAACUGCGUUCUGAACUGGGUGACUAGAGUGUGUCAGAGGGAGGUAGAAUUCCACGUGUAGCAGUGAAAUGCGUAGAGAUGUGGAGGAAUACCGAUGGA